GACGAACGCUGGCGGCGUGCUUAACACAUGCAAGUCGAACGGAAAGGCCCUGCUUUUGUGGGGUGCUCGAGUGGCGAACGGGUGAGUAACACGUGAGUAACCUGCCCUUGACUUUGGGAUAACUUCAGGAAACUGGGGCUAAUACCGGAUAGGAGCUCCUGCUGCAUGGUGGGGGUUGGAAAGUUUCGGCGGUUGGGGAUGGACUCGCGGCUUAUCAGCUUGUUGGUGGGGUAGUGGCUUACCAAGGCUUUGACGGGUAGCCGGCCUGAGAGGGUGACCGGCCACAUUGGGACUGAGAUACGGCCCAGACUCCUACGGGAGGAAGCAGUGGGGAAUAUUGCAAAAUGGGCGGAAGCCUGAUGCAGCAACGCAGCGUGCGGGAUAACGGCCUUAGGGUUGUAAACCGCUUUCGCCUGUGACGAAGCGUGAGUGACGGUAAUGGGUAAAGAAGCACCGGCUAACUACGUG
rnacentral:rRNA from 1 species